GGACGCAUUUUGUGCAGUUAUG
rnacentral:miRNA from 15 species